rnacentral:misc_RNA from 1 species
UAUAACUUACAACACAGAAAUAAGCAUAGAUCAGAUAGUGUGAUAAUUAAUA